AGCUUCGGCCAUCCGGCGAGGGAUGGGCCCGCGGUCCAUUAGCUAGUUGGUGGGGUAACGGCCCACCAAGGCAACGAUGGAUAGCUGGUCUGAGAGGAUGAUCAGCCACACUGGGACUGAGACACGGCCCAGACUCCUACGGGAGGCAGCAGUCGGGAAUCUUGCGCAAUGGGCGAAAGCCUGACGCAGCAACACCGUGUGAGCGACGAAGGCCUUCGGGUUGUAAAGCUCUGUUGUUGGGGACGAAGGGCGAAGGGUUAAUAGCCC
rnacentral:rRNA from 1 species